GAACAAAUUAUCUGGGGAUGUGUCUUCGCUUGUAAAUUGCCUUAGUCUUUCUUUGAUUAAUGUAUCUUACAACAAUUUAGUUGGUGUUAUUCCCACAAGCAACAAUUUUUCCAGGUUUUCUCCUGAUAGUUUCAUUGGAAACCCUGGUCUCUGUGGCUAUUGGCUGGAUUCAUCUUGUCAAGGGUCUCANCCUACNNAGCGUGGUCAGUUGAACUUUUUAGCANAAUACCAUGUUGCUCCUUCACAUUUUUGUUUCAUGGUUUUUAUAUUAACUUGUCUAAGGCAGCUAUCCUAGGAAUUGCUCUAGGUGCCCUUGUGAUUCUUUGCAUGGUACUCUUUGCAGCUUGCCGACCACACAAUCCAGCUCCUUUCCCUGAAGGAUCUUUUGACAAACCAGUUAAUUACUCACCUCCNAAGCUAGUGAUACUUCACAUGAAUAUGGCACUUCAUGUAUAUGAUGAUAUAAUGAGAAUGACUGAAAACCUAAGUGAGAAGUAUAUAAUUGGGUAUGGUGCUUCAAGUACAGUUUAC